CUUGGAACCCAGGGCAGCAGGUGCAGCCCGCGCCACUAUUCCCAGCCCCAGGGACUUGAUAUAUGCAAAUGCGGGGGCCAUCAGGCCAGGGACAAUAGAGCCUCUUAAUCCCCCCAGGCAAUGGGAGGGGGAGCACUCUCGUCCACACCCCUCCCCCCUUGCCAAAGCUGAACUCGAAAUGGAGCAUCCACAGAAUGGAGAUCUCCUGCACAAGCCAGGGAUUCUUUUUCCUCAAAGAGCACAGCUCUGGAGUGAGCUCUGUGAAGGCAGCACAGAUGCCUGGAAGGACCCUCUACAGAAGCCUUUGCUCCUGUGUGUUUCCGCUGCAUAGCCCAACCAGACCUCCAUCGCCGGCAUCAGCCCCCAAGGGCUUUCUCCUGCUCUCCCCAACUAGCAGCAACGCCUCCAAGCUCAUGCCUUAUUAUUUAUUCCACCGAAGCAGAGGAGUUGACAACAGCAAAAUCUCUGUUCUUAUCCUACUUGGCUGUGAACUCGGCAGGUGAUUCAGGAGAGCAAGACAAAGCUGCAACAUCUUUUGUGACCAAACCUCAGACAUGACACACCAUUAUUUCUGCAGUAUCCUGUUGGCUACACAGAUCCACCUUAUUUCAUGUGGAAAGACUCUAUGAAGGGCAUGGAUCCAGGGGGAACAAACAAAGAAAAAAAAACUGGGACCAGCCACUGCCCUGGGGAACAGUGGCAGGGUGGAGUGAUCUGAACAUGAGGCAUGAGAAGAACUGAGUGACUACAGUGAUUGGGCUAUAAUAGACUCUGUCACUGGCCCAGCUGUAAUCCCUGGCGCCUGCUGCUUCACUGUGUUCUGCAGGAGUUCCACUGCCCUGAAUCUCUGACUCUGUGCCCGAGGUCUUUUUCUGGAAUUGUGGAAGGUGCUCUGCUAUGUGGGAAACAAGCUGGAAGUUCCGGGAAUCACACUUCCCAGAAGCUACACCCAACCAGUGAUUGACAGGAGUUGAAGUAAAAACAUCAUGGCUUUC
ensembl:lncRNA novel transcript